rnacentral:misc_RNA from 1 species
GAUGAGAACGUAGCGAAAUGCGAUAAGUAAUGUGAAUUGCAGAAUUCAGUGAAUCAUCGAAUCUUUGAACGCACAUUGCGCCCGCCAGUAUUCUGGCGGGCAUGCCUGUUCGAGCGUCAUUUCAACCAUCAAGCCCCCGGCUUGUGUUGGGGACCUGCGGCUGCCGCAGGCCCUGAAAAGCAGUGGCGGGCUCGCUGUCACACCGAGCGUAGUAGAUUUCAUCUCGCUCAGGGCGUGCUGCGGGUUCCGGCCGUUAAACCACCUUCAUAACCCAAGGUUGACCUCGGAUCAGGUAGGAAGACCCGCUGAACUUAAGCAUAUCAAUAAGCGGAGGA